rnacentral:rRNA from 1 species
CACGUAGGAGGCAAACGUUAUCCGGAUUUACUGGGCGUAAAGCGCGUGUAGGUGGUUCUGUAAGUAGGGCGUGAAAGCUCCCGGCUCAACUGGGAGAGGCCGUUCUAAACUGCAGAGCUAGAGGAUGGUAGAGGGAGGUGGAAUUCCAGGUGUAGCGGUGGAAUGCGCAGAUAUCUGGAGGAACACCAGUGGCGAAGGCGGCCUCCUGGACAAUUCCUGACACUCAGACGCGAAAGCUAGGGUAGCAAACGGGAUUAGAUACCCUGGUAGU